rnacentral:lncRNA from 1 species
UUCAGCCUUACCCAUUCCGUAAAGACUGUAGCUCAAAACAGCCAUCCACAGGAAGGGCAGACCUGCUUACUGGAUAUUAUUUUGUUUCCUAGAAAGAAAUUUCACAGCUCAACAAUUUGUAACUCUCUUAAUUAGUGACUCUUAAUUAGUGACUUUUCUGGGUUGCUUAUAGUCUGUGUAAUUAUAUCUUUAUGGGACAGUCUCAAAAUGCAUUGUUCUUCCCGUCCAUGGGCAGAAUAGGUCUGCCCUUAGAGCUCUGGCACCCCGCUCCCACACAGGAUGAAUGGCAGAGGACCAGCUAGCACAGCCUCGGGAACCGCACUUGCACUUGCCGGUGGGUGCUGCCUCUUCAUUGCAGCCAGGCUUUUGUUUUCCAGGCCCUUUUUGUCCACUAGAUUAAAGAGUUAAGGAAUUCUCACCAUUUUUUACCGUGUCGAGCAGUGAGUGCAGCUACUUAUUUCCAAGGACUUUGUCCCUCCCUCCCUUAGUCCCUGGACACUCAGUUCUACUUCUGUCUCCAUGGAUAGGCCUAGUCUCCAGGUCCCAAGGAGGUUCUGCCUUCCCAUGGCCAGAGGCAGAAGAGCAAAAGAGAGCAGGACUCCUUCAUGAAGCCUUUGAGAGACACCUCGCCCCCACAGGGUAAAGUCAGGAAGGUGCUUUCACGGUUCCUUCACGCAGUAGCCUGUAUCCUACCUUUGUGCUGUCUUAAGACCAAUCACCUACUGUAUGGCUGGGCCACUCGACGUUUUUCCAGCCCUCUUUUGAUGGACAUGGUUUGACAAUGAUGUUGCCUUGGAAACCAGUGUUCCCACCCUACAUUUUCCCUCUCCUUUUUCUUCCCUCUCUCUAACUGCCGCAGAAGCACCUCAUUCUCUGCUCCUCAUAACUGACAUGUACCAUCAGAAGAGAAAUCUAAAACUCCAAGAGAAGCUAAUUAUUGUUCUAUUUUCUUUGUCUAAAGAUCAUAUUAACAUUUUGAAAGUGU